rnacentral:rRNA from 1 species
GAUGAACGCUGGCGGCGUGCCUAAUACAUGCAAGUCGAGCGAACAGACGAGGAUCUUGCUCCUCUGACGUUAGCGGCGGACGGGUGAGUAACACGUGUAUAACCUACCUAUAAGACUGGUAUAACUUCGGGAAACCGGAGCUAAUAGCGUAUAAUAUAUUGAACCGCAUGGUUCAAUAGUGAAAGACGGUUUUGCUGUCACUUAUAGAUGGAUCCGCGCCGCAUUAGCUAGUUGUUAAGGUAACGGCUUACCAAGGCAACGAUGCGUAGCCGACCUGAGAGAGUGGUAGGCCACCUUGGAAGUGAGCCAGAGACGAGACUACUGCGGGAGGCAGCAGUAGGGAAUCUUACGCAAUGGGGGAAAGCCUGACAGAGCAGCGCGGAGUGAGUGAUGAAGGUCUUCGGAUCGUGAAAAUCUGUUAUUAGGGAAGAACAAAUGUGUAAGUAACUAUGCACGUCUUGACGGUACCUGAUCAGAAAGCAACGGCUAACUACGUG